rnacentral:rRNA from 1 species
AGAGUUUGAUCCUGGCUCAGGAUGAACGCUAGCUACAGGCUUAACACAUGCAAGUCGAGGGGCAGCAUGGUCUUAGCUUGCUAAGGCCGAUGGCGACCGGCGCACGGGUGAGUAACACGUAUCCAACCUGCCGUCUACUCUUGGACAGCCUUCUGAAAGGAAGAUUAAUACAAGAUGGCAUCAUGAGUCCGCAUGUUCACAUGAUUAAAGGUAUUCCGGUAGACGAUGGGGAUGCGUUCCAUUAGAUAGUAGGCGGGGUAACGGCCCACCUAGUCUUCGAUGGAUAGGGGUUCUGAGAGGAAGGUCCCCCACAUUGGAACUGAGACACGGUCCAAACUCCUACGGGAGGCAGCAGUGAGGAAUAUUGGUCAAUGGGCGAGAGCCUGAACCAGCCAAGUAGCGUAAGGAUGACUGCCCUAUGGGUUGUAAACUUCUUUUAUAAAGGAAUAAAGUCGGGUAUGCAUACCCGUUUGCAUGUACUUUAUGAAUAAGGAUCGGCUAACUCCGUGCCAGCAGCCGCGGUAAUACGGAGGAUCCGAGCGUUAUCCGGAUUUAUUGGGUUUAAAGGGAGCGUAGAUGGAUGUUUAAGUCAGUUGUGAAAGUUUGCGGCUCAACCGUAAAAUUGCAGUUGAUACUGGAUAUCUUGAGUGCAGUUGAGGCAGGCGGAAUUCGUGGUGUAGCGGUGAAAUGCUUAGAUAUCACGAAGAACUCCGAUUGCGAAGGCAGCCUGCUAAGCUGCAACUGACAUUGAGGCUCGAAAGUGUGGGUAUCAAACAGGAUUAGAUACCCUGGUAGUCCACACGGUAAACGAUGAAUACUCGCUGUUUGCGAUAUACAGCAAGCGGCCAAGCGAAAGCGUUAAGUAUUCCACCUGGGGAGUACGCCGGCAACGGUGAAACUCAAAGGAAUUGACGGGGGCCCGCACAAGCGGAGGAACAUGUGGUUUAAUUCGAUGAUACGCGAGGAACCUUACCCGGGCUUAAAUUGCAGAUGAAUUACGGUGAAAGCCGUAAGCCGCAAGGCAUCUGUGAAGGUGCUGCAUGGUUGUCGUCAGCUCGUGCCGUGAGGUGUCGGCUUAAGUCCAUAACGAGCGCAACCCUUGUUGUCAGUUACUAACAGGUUCUGCUGAGGACUCUGACAAGACUGCCAUCGUAAGAUGUGAGGAAGGUGGGGAUGACGUCAAAUCAGCACGGCCCUUACGUCCGGGGCUACACACGUGUUACAAUGGGGGGUACAGAGGGCCGCUACCACGCGAGUGGAUGCCAAUCCCCAAAACCUCUCUCAGUUCGGACUGGAGUCUGCAACCCGACUCCACGAAGCUGGAUUCGCUAGUAAUCGCGCAUCAGCCACGGCGCGGUGAAUACGUUCCCGGGCCUUGUACACACCGCCCGUCAAGCCAUGGGAGCCGGGGGUACCUGAAGUGCGUAACCGCGAGGAGCGCCCUAGGGUAAAACUGGUGACUGGGGCUAAGUCGGAACAAGGUA